GGGGGUGCGUUCGCUACAAGGAGGUGCAAGACAAGUUCUGUUUGGGCCUGAUCCAAACCUCUACAAGGCAUCUACUGAAAGCAGGUAAAAAUGAAAGAAAUAGAAAAGCGCUUAUUCACGUCAGCCAAACGCACUUAUUCACACAAGCGGACAUGCUCUCAGGUCUCAUAUGGAGACUCUACGAGAACUUCGCAAACGACUACGCAAUGGUGACCAAACAACGCCAUCAGGUUAUGGCUCCUACUUGUACAAUCCAGUACAUCAUCGUGGCAAAUGAAUCGAAGCAUGAGCAUAUGGAUUAAGAGCUACUUGUCGAAGACGACGAUGGAGAUGGCGACGAUGAUGACGAAGGUCACGAGCACAACUCCUAUCCACUUCUCGUAAUGCUGAAACGGAUCCAAAGCGUUUGAGCGAUAACGACCUUCAAGUUUCGGAGCUUCCGGCGGUGGCUUAGCUCUGCCGUGUAGAGCUUCGAGUGAUGAAGCUCCCACAACAAUGAAAGUGAGCGUGUACUGAAGGUGGGGAGUGAUUGCAAGAUGCUUUUGGAUGAGGAAAAAAAUUCUGAACCCCAAUGAUUGGCAAUGAUUGCCUCUUAUAUAGCGUGAUCCAAGAGGGAAAUUUGGAGAAUUGAGUCUAAGUGGCUAAAUCUGAUUCGCCCAGCUGGCAUUUAAGUGAAGGACAUGGUUGCUGAAUCGAUGCUGCUCAUUCCCUAUACUGUGAACUACCUCAAUGCAUUGAAAAGAUUGUGAUUUUCAUAACUUCCAUAGGUUGGAUUGACUUAUCAUGGUGAAGAGAAGAGCUGCCAUUGGCCAUUGGGAUUAUCUUGGACCGUCUACUCAGGUAACGGCUUCCUCUGACUUGCAAUGAUCAAUACCGUGGGCUGUAAACUUCGAGUGAGCUAGUUACGGGGCUAUGCUUUAGUGAGUUCUUGAUAAACCAAUUGUAUAAUCAUUUCCUCCGGGUCUGCACUGUAGUUCACCCUUAAAGCAUGACAUUUUUGGAUUCACUAGCUUCUGGUGUAGGAUGGAAUGAGCCUGCCAUGGUGAUGCUUGUUCUGAGUGAAGCCAAUGGCGUUGUAUAACCGUUGUUGCUGCUGCAAUUCUGAAGGUCUUGACCUCCUUAGUUUUUAGCUAGCAGUUAAGCAACAGUUGGCUUAUUUGGAAUAAAUGCCUUUGCCCUGGUGCAUUUCUUGAACAUAAUGCUAAAUAAUCAGAAUGUGAUCCCCUGUUCAUGAGUUGUUGCUCUAGUCUUGAACAUGUCCUUGAAGUAUGCACUGCCCAUUGAUGUUUUGAUUUGGUUUUACAGCUUGGCAACAUAACAUGUUCUCAUGGCCUGAACUGGUUGCAUUGCUGACUUGGUAUUCAUGCUACUGAUUCAAGAACCAUGAUGGUGGUGGAAGGGUUAGGUCUGCAGCAGGUAUAAAUUUCUGUCAUUUUGCAACUGACUGCAGCCUUAUGUUCAUAAUCAAUGCAUAUCAUAUGUUGACUGAUAGUAUGGAUUCAUGAUCUGAUUGGCCCACUGCAUUGCAGCAGGGUAUUGCCCUUUUGUUUCGCGACAUUCCAAGGCACAUUUGGUAUGGUUUUGCAGGUAUUAUCACAGUUGACGAAAUACAAGACGCUAAAGGUCAUGGUAGUUGUAAAUGGAGGAGCAGCACGGUUCCAAUAACGAAGAAACAACCGGCAACUGCUGCGUUGAAGCCUACAGAAAUUCCAGCUGCUGCAAUCCACUUGCAGGUUGUCGAAAUUGCGGCGUUUGGCUCAGUUUUGAAGCUCUGUUACCGUUUCUUUUGCAGGUACUCGGUUGGAUUCGAGUUUGGCCCUGGUUUUGUGCAUGGUUGGUUCGCCAUUAUCGGUUUCAGAGCUGCUGUUUUUUGUUUCGUUGAAGGUUUAUUAAUUUGUGCAGUGUCAGUUAUGGUAGCCUGGGAGGCGACAACCUUUCCUUUAUCUAAUGCUAACUCAGUUCUAACAAGAGCCCUGUUAAUCCCACGCUCUGUUUCCUGGUCUGACUUAGCAGAGCAUCCAAAGGAUUGCUGCUCUUCCUUUCCAACAGAGACCGUUGUCACAGAAGGCAUAGCUUGCCUAUGAACCGCUGCUCCAGUGGAUUUCUGAUUUCUUGCGAAAGUUUCCUGCUUUGAAGAAUUUCCAUCAAGAGAUGUGAUUGGCUGUGAAUCCUUGAGUGAAUUGGCUGCUUCACUUGCAAAUGAAGAGGUGGUGGAGUAAUGGCCUGAAGAAGUUCUUGGGGAAGUGUAUUUUAUUUCUACAAUUCCAACCUCUACAACAGAAUUCACAGGGACAGCCUGAUUUCCGUUAACAUGUGGGGAAACCAAAGCGGGACAAUUUUUCUUUUGACAUUCUUCAAUAUUUUCAUUAGCACUGUCAACCGGAGGCUUUGUCAAACAUGUCUUACCGGAGCCCUCGCUCUUCCUUUUAGUUACAGGAAUGGUAUUGAGGUCCUUAAGUGAUGUCUUCUCAUUAAUUCUCCUAACAUCUGUCACUGUAUCACUGCAAAAGAAACAUCUUUGACAGUUCAAAAGAUGCCUAGUUAUACAGCCAUAGCAAGACCUAUGUGAACCAGGUGCAAUCUGGGUAUCUGCUUCACACCAUUCAAACUCCCAUCACUGCAUUCAGCAGUAACAUGAGCAGUUCUUUCGGGGAUAGAGCUACAAUGGCCCCGAGACCCUUUGGCCAGGAUUAGGUUGUAGCUAUGGCUUGGUUACAGACUGUCGCCAUUGCAUUGCUUAUCAUGGCCUCUAAUAUUGUAGCCAAUGUCAUACCAGUUUGAUGCAGAUGCAGGAACUCUGCAGCCAUGCUUUUUCUGGUAUGUUGGUUUGCUUUUGGAAAUGGCUUGGCAUAAUUAUUGUCGCCUUGUACUGAGAUAGACGUACCGGGAGGACCGGUAACGCAUCCAUUUUCCAAUGUCCAUACAUCCUGCUGCGCCAAACAGGUCCAGAUGGCUUUUUUGCUCGCUUCACAUCCUGAGGAUCGCUCUUGGAGUUAUUGACUUUCCGGCUGCGAGGAGGUAUGUUAAGGUUUUGGAGGUGAAAUGACUAGCCAAGGACACAUGAAGUGGGUUGGACAAAACACACAAACAAAUGGCCAAAUUGGAUUUUUUGAAGCAUCACGGACAAAUGGCAAACUCCAGGAUCAAGAUUGAAUUUUAGAUUAGAAAUAGGAUCAGGACCUAUGGGGUUGAGUUGACUUUGGUCAAAGUUGACCAAAGUCAACAAUUGGUCAAUGCACCUCCCUUUGUAUUUUUUUCCAUGUAAUGAACUUUUUAUGAUCAUGUAAUGAAUGUCAUUUCCUCAUUUGAAUGAACUUGGAUUGGUAUUUGAACUAAAUGGCUCUUGAAAUGAA